rnacentral:rRNA from 1 species
UACGUAGGGUGCAAGCGUUAAUCGGAAUUACUGGGCGUAAAGCGUGCGCAGGCGGUUUUGUAAGCCAGAUGUGAAAGCCCCGGGCUUAACCUGGGAAUGGCAUUUGGGACUGCAAGGCUGGAGUGUGGCAGAGGAGACUGGAAUUCCUGGUGUAGCAGUGAAAUGCGUAGAUAUCAGGAGGAAUACCGAUGGCGAAGGCAGGUCUCUGGGCUGACACUGACGCUCAUGCACGAAAGCGUGGGGAGCAAACAGGA